rnacentral:rRNA from 1 species
GACAGAGGUGCCAAGCGUUAGGCGGAAUCACUGGGCUUAAAGCGUGUGUAGGCGGGUGCCUAAGUAACUUGUGAAAUCCCACGGCUCAACCGUGGAACUGCUGGGUAUACUGGGUGCCUUGGGUCAUCUAGGGGCUGCCGGAACAAAUGGUGGAGCGGUGAAAUGCGUAGAGAUCGGUAGGAACACCAGUGGCGAAGGCGGUCUCCUGGAGCAUACUUGACGCUGAGGCGCGAAAGCUGGGGGAGCGAACGGG